rnacentral:lncRNA from 1 species
CAGCCUCAUAUGUUAAUACAUCAUGAUGAGAUUUACCUUUUGUCCAAAUAAGGUCAUGAUAUCUUUUAAAACAACGAGGGAGGACUAUGUUGAAAAAAAUCAAUAAAAGGGAGAUAACUUCUAAAGGGGAUGAUGAAAUCCUACAAAAGUUAAUCUUGUAAAAGUUUAUGAUGGGGUCUAUCGAGGGUCCAUAUUUGGUCUUGAUAACUUCUACAGAAACGUGGGGAGGGCAUGCCAAAAAAAUGUUGGAAGA